ensembl:miRNA Mir7214 microRNA 7214
UGUUUUCUGGGUUGGAAUGAGAAUGUGUCUCCCCACCCUCAGUCCUGACCCCUUGAGCGCA